AUUUUGAAAGCUUUCAAUUUAAAGUGUACAUUUACUAAUUUUUGUACCACGUACCGCUAAACUUCGUGCAGGUUAUCUUUUUCAAGCAGUUUGGUGUCAGAUAUGGCAGCUAAAGUGAGCAAACCUUCUAUAUGGAAGAUGUUGGCGAUCGUCGUUCCAGGAGAAAGUUUUUGAUCGAGUUGCAACGGCGUAGUGGUGCUGGGAACGAUAACUAACCGUUUCGCUUCGAACUUGAACGGCGAAGUAACCACAGUGUUUCGUUUUGGGCGCUUGCAUGGAAUAUUUUAUGAUUCAAGUUCCCAUUGGAGGUGAGACUUUUUACUCAGUGGCAAAACGCAAGGAGGCCGAGCGGCGACUCGCGCGCUUGGCCUCAGAGUCACCAGGGAGCAGUGCCGAUUCUUCUGUCCUCGGCUCCAACGUACCCGCAACGCCAGGACUGGAACGAGCUGGAGACGUCUCGUUGAGUCAUGAUGAAGAGGUUUCUAGCGAAAAACCGAAAAAAUGGCCCCGAGUAUGAGAAGCUUGCCGCACGGAAAGCGCCAUGCUUGCGGUGCCGUUCACAUGGUAAUAUUAGGUGCUUUCGCGUGAACGCGGUUGCCCUGCCAUGUUUUUCAUAGUGGAGCAUUCCUUAGUCAAUCAGGAGAUACAAGGACACAAGAACAAUGCUGGUACUCAGGGUGUGGGUUCCAAAGCGGCAUAUGCGCCGUUUGGAUUGUAUCACGUCACAACGGGACUGGGCGUAUGCAGAGAUUGCAGCAUACAUGAACGCUGCCGUUGACCAGAGAUGAAACCUCAACUACCGACGAGUUAUCGGAAUGCAGCACCUGCUGCUGCCCUGAGCAACACGUCCUACCCCGUUGCUUGGUCAAAUGUUUCGCUCGUUUGCAUGAGGAAUCCUAUCUGGAUUGCUCUUGUCAUGCAGACAUAUUCAGCAAUAUCCAAUAGCGGAACCCUAGUACAGCUCACCAGUUGUGCGGGAAGAUCGUUCCCAGUACAUACGUAUGGUGCUGGAGCCUCACCAGAAUCCUGAACGCACCACGCGAGACUCCAUUGCCCCCUUUCCUGACCACUGAGUUUUUUCCAUCGGAAGUCGUUAGUGUUUCAACGCAAUGCCGAAACUGGGAACUGAACGAUUCCAUAGAAACUUUGCUCGACAGAGCCGGUUAACGCUGUUUAGCCCCGAGAAAUUUCCGGAGUUUACUCGAUUUGUUCAAGUUUCGGUGGAGAGAGUGCAUGCGCGCAUGGUUGCUGGUGGAAUCAGACCAAAGCAUGCCACUCACCUUCGUUUACCUCACCAUCUGAAGGUCGGUUGUUCUGGAGUGACGAAAAAUGGCGUUGUCUACGAGCCGGGCAGCAUAGCGUGGAGAGGAGAAGCCACGAAGUGUGUUUCUCCUCAGGAUGAAGUCGUACGCGAUCCUGCACAUGUCGUAUUUCGUAGGUGACCGCAGUAUUGAAUCGCCGUACGCGCAAACAUUAUCGGGAAACACACUUAUCCCUUCUGUACGAACACCAUUUUACUCUUCGUUGGCGACACAUACAUAGUUCUAAGCUUUCUCUCGAACCAAGUCUCAUCGAACGAGAAGAGCAUCCGUCCUUAACGUAACAAGAGUUCGCGCGUCAGAAUCGAAUCCACUGUGUAUUGUUCAAGGCGCAACGCUCUCCCACAGACGCACUCUUUUUUUCCUCGGCCAUCCAUGUCUCUUCUUCACCGCUCGUAUUGACAGUGCGAAAACCACAAAUCAUGGAACUGGGUUUUUGAUGUUUCUCAGAGAACGCACGAACAGGACUGGAAUGACCUGGAGAGAGUCGUACAGAGAAAAUUUGCUGAGUUCUAUGUUGAGUGCGCGACGUUCAGACUAGGGACACAGCAAAGACUGCUUCAACUACUUGCUGAACAUUAAUU